rnacentral:rRNA from 1 species
UUAGAGUUUGAUUCCUGGCUCAGGAUGAACGCUGGCGGCGUGCUUAACACAUGCAAGUCGAACGAUGAAGACCGUGCUUGCACGGUUGGAUUAGUGGCGAACGGGUGAGUAUCACGUGAGUAACCUUCCCUUAACUCUGGGAUAAGCCCGGGAAACUGGGUCUAAUACCGGAUACGACCAGUCCUCGCAUGGGGUGCUGGUGGAAAGAUUUAUCGGUUUUGGAUGGACUCGCGGCCUAUCAGCUUGUUGGUGAGGUAAUGGCUCACCAAGGCGAUGACGGGUAGCCGGCCUGAGAGGGUGACCGGCCACACUGGGACUGAGACACGGCCCAGACUCCUACGGGAGGCAGCAGUGGGGAAUAUUGCACAAUGGGCGAAAGCCUGAUGCAGCGACGCCGCGUGCGGGAUGACGGCCUUCGGGUUGUAAACCGCUUUCAGCAGGGAAGAAGCGAAAGUGACGGUACCUGCAGAAGAAGCG